rnacentral:rRNA from 1 species
CCUACGGGAGGCUGCAGUGGGGAAUAUUGGACAAUGGGGGGAACCCUGAUCCAGCCAUGCCGCGUGUGUGAAGAAGGCCCUCGGGUUGUAAAGCACUUUCAGUGAGGAAGAACGCCUGGUGGUUAAUACCCAUCAGGAAAGACAUCACUCACAGAAGAAGCACCGGCUAACUCCGUGCCAGCAGCCGCGGUAAUACGGAGGGUGCGAGCGUUAAUCGGAAUUACUGGGCGUAAAGCGCGCGUAGGUGGCUUGAUAAGCCGGUUGUGAAAGCCCCGGGCUCAACCUGGGAACGGCAUCCGGAACUGUCGAGCUAGAGUGCAGGAGAGGAAGGUAGAAUUCCCGGUGUAGCGGUGAAAUGCGUAGAGAUCGGGAGGAAUACCAGUGGCGAAGGCGGCCUUCUGGACUGACACUGACGCUGAGGUGCGAAAGCGUGGGUAGCAAACAGGAUUAGAUACCCCUGUAGUC